UCCCUCCCAGGGUCGCACCUGGAGAGUUUCCAGCACUCUACCAGUCUCGACUAUGAGAGGGAGAGUCAAGCAGAGACAUAUCCAUUCCAUUCCUAGCUUGGGCAGUGGCUAGCGAAUGGCAGAACAUCUGCUACAAGU